ensembl:lncRNA
GUCAGCACCUGCGUCACGCCGACGGGACGUGAGGAACGCGGUGGGCGGAGCCCUAAUAGGUUCACCGGGAGGGCGGCCGGACGGACAGCCACCCUCGGCCCCCUGCGGUAAACCUGCCCGGGAAUCGUCUCACACGCCCAUGGAAGAACCACGCACGGAUGACAUAACCUGCACGCAGCAGGCAUCGGUGCGGUGUGAGUACAUCCUUGAGUUUAACCACACAGCCCCCGGCACAGGUCAAUGCUGUGCCUGUGACCCUACUGAGAUUACCGGGCGCUGCCGUUCACUAUAAGACCCAAUCAGUUGUGUCAUCAUGGCACAAGUAUCAGCCAAGUUAAUACGCAAAGCAAUGACAGACGUGAGUUGUAGAGACCAGUAAUACCCCACCAAAACAAACUCAGCGAAAGCCUCCAGGCCAAGGAGAGGUUUUCACAGUUCAGUGGAAUCAACGACUGAAGUAAAGAUUCCAAGGAUCUUGGCAAUAUCCUAAAAUGUGGUGAUAUAAACCGCGGCUGUCUGUGGAUGACAAGUAUGAACUAAAGCAAGGCGAGCCUGCUCCUUAAUGACAGAAAUCAGGUCGUCCACAUCGGUCGGUGCAGCAAGGUUGCCGUGGUCCUUUCAGAGGUCAAAGGUCAUCUGGUCAAUGAUUACGACUGGUCUGUACUGGGGCGACUGGCCGCUUCCCAGCGCUGGGACAGCCCGGUCACAUGACCCCCCGGUCUGGAAGCCCGGGGCCCCUACGGAGAUGAGAGCAGAGACCAGCUGAUGAUGCCGUGGUGUGUGUGUGUGUGGCUGUGUGUGUGUGUGUGUGUAGGCAGUCUAUCAAUCUGGAGAUGAAGGUGCAAUGUUUAUCCAUAACAAAUAAUGCAGAAUUUUUUUUUGGCAUAAAGCUUUCUAUGUUUGGUCAGCCCUUACUAAAAGCUGUAAAACACUUUCUUCCAUGUUCGGAUCAGUAAUCUUCCCAUGUAAGUUAUGAUCCAAAUGAAAGUAUUAAAAUGUGUGUGCGUGUGUGUGUCAGUGUGGGUGCGUAUGUGUGUGAGUGUGGGUGCAAGCGCGUGUGUGUGUUUGUGUGUGUGUGUGUGUGUGUGUUUG